rnacentral:rRNA from 1 species
AGUGAACGCUGGCGGUAUGCCUAACACAUGCAAGUCGAACGGCAGCACAGUAAGAGCUUGCUCUUACGGGUGGCGAGUGGCGGACGGGUGAGGAAUACAUCGGAAUCUACUUUUUCGUGGGGGAUAACGUAGGGAAACUUACGCUAAUACCGCAUACGACCUACGGGUGAAAGCAGGGGAUCUUCGGACCUUGCGCGAUUGAAUGAGCCGAUGUCGGAUUAGCUAGUUGGCGGGGUAAAGGCCCACCAAGGCGACGAUCCGUAGCUGGUCUGAGAGGAUGAUCAGCCACACUGGAACUGAGACACGGUCCAGACUCCUACGGGAGGCAGCAGUGGGGAAUAUUGGACAAUGGGCGCAAGCCGGAUCCAGCCAUACCGCGUGGGUGAAGAAGGCCUUCGGGUUGUAAAGCCCUUUUGUUGGGAAAGAAAAGCAGCAGGUUAAUACCCCGCUGUUCUGACGGUACCCAAAGAAUAAGCACCGGCUAACUUCGUG